rnacentral:rRNA from 1 species
AAACUGGCCAAUGCGCGAAAGCGUGAGCCGGCUAAUCCGAGUGAUCUCCCAUCGGAGAUCUUUUGUUAUGUGUUCACAGCAUGACGAAUAAUGAGAGGGCAAGACUGGUGCCAGCCGCCGCGGUAAAACCAGCUCUUAGAGUGGUGGGCAUGAUUAUUUGGCUUAAAGGGUGCGUAGCAGGACAGCGUAAGUCCCCCGUGAAAUGCCAGGUCUUAAGCUUGGCGCGGGCGGGGGAUACUGUGCGUCUUGGGACCGGGAUAGGUAUAAGGUAUGCAUUGGGUAGGGGUGAAAUCCGAUAAUCCAAUGCAGACCGCCGGUGGCGAAGGCGUUAUACUGGAACGGGUCCGACUGUGAGGCACGAAAGCUAAGGUCGCGAGCCGGAUUAGAUACCCGGGUAGUCCUAUGCUGUAAACGAUGCUCACUAAGUGUUAGGCAAUGCAAGACGUUGUCUAGUGCCGAAGGGAAACCGUUAAGUGAGCCGCCUGGAAGUACGUUCGCAAGA